AAUGGCGUAGUCACCCUACCAGCUAAAGAGGACAUCUUGAAGUGGAAAACUGGAACAUCAGCACUGGACACUGCAAGGCUUCAUGCAGAAAGAGAAGUGGCUAAAGAGGAAAACUCAUAUGCUGCACUUUUAAAUACCUCAAAUCAACUCCAAAUAGCCCUCCAGAAGUAUUCAAUUAUAGCAACAGAGAGAGAGAGGAAAUAGAAUACGCUGACUUCCAUUGGA